GGAGUAAAGUGAUGAUUAUGGAGUAUUUAUGAGCUUAAAAGAGAUUUCAUUCGAGCUGACCAUUAGAGGUCGAUACGAAGAAGAAGAAAUCGAUCGACUGAUAUCGAGAGGCGGAACGCGCGACUUGGUUUCAGCCGACUUUAAACCCAAGGCUUCACCAAAUUACAAGAUUACCCCUGACGAGUUUUGAACCUAAUAGUUAUAUACUUGCCUCAGUGUUAUGAGGCAAGAGAGUUCUUUUCAGAAAGUUUUUCAGCCACCAUUGUAUUCUUACUUUCAGAGGAGAGAAGAUCAUAGAGAGAUUUAUGAUUGAAACUCCAUUGAUUCAUCUAUUCUAUUCUAUGCAGUUUUUAUCUAUAUUUUUGUGUGCUUAUGAAUAGCUUAGCUGUCUGAGUAGUUUACUGUUUAGAUUCAAGGUUCAAAGUAGUUAGAGGGAUUAGCCCCAACUAUAGAUUUGCUACGUUGUGAUAUUCAUUGAUUGAUUGUUCUUAUUGCUUGUUUUAGCUUUGCUAACUAGAACAUGAACCUAGGAAUUAGCAUGUGUCAAGCAUCCUUGAUCAUCAUGUCCUGAAUCUAAUCUGUCAAGCGACUGCUAGAGAGAGCUAACCGCUGAUCUAGGAGACUAGUGAGCAUUAUCAACCCACACCUAGGGCUUAGCUAGAAGCAUCGAUCGAUAUUGUCUUCUGACAAUCGAUCGAUAUUUGCAAAAGGUGUAUCGAUCGAUAUCCCUAUAGAAUCAUCGAUCAACACUUUAUUUUGAUCAAAAGACAACAGUUGAGAUCCAAGAUCUAGUUAGUUAACCAGUGAAACAUUUCCAUCGCUGAUCACUGUGAUUAAGGAGUUGAGAUCUAAUAUAUCAUGCAUGCAACAGUUAGGCAUCUAUAGGAUUAUAAUCUCCAACACCUGAAUAGAAACCCUGCAUCUAAUAUCUUCCAAUAAGUUACACCCCAUAUCAUCUUGUUAAUCGAGCAAUAGACUUGCUCAAUUAGGAUUGCUAUUUACUUUUAAACCUAUAAAACAACAAACACCUAGAAUUAAUAACCUUACUAGAUUUAAUAGGUUCUCUAGCUCCUUUUCAGAUGGGAACAGAAGGACGAAUAUGGUGUGUACAGAGAUGAGUCUGGAUAUGCAAGGAGCAUAACUGGUGAGAUGAUCCAUGUUACCAAUGACAACAUCAGAAAAAUUCUGGAGAGAGCAUCCUUAUUUGAAGAUAGUCACAUAUGUCUUCCAGAACAUGCCACUUCUCUCCCAACUAAAAGACUGGCACCAGCGAUCUACACCAAAGAUGAGAUUAAUGAGAUGGUGAUUGGUAUUUGUGGAGCUCAGGAAAAGCUAGGAGAUGAACUCAAGACAUCGGUAGAUGACACCUAUCGGCCUUUGGACAGAGAUAACAAUAAGCUUUUCAGAAGUAUGGCAGAUAUGAGGACAGAGAUUGAGAAUAUGCAACACAGACUUGAGAAAGAAGCUACGACAUCACCAUUGAUCGACGCCAACAAAGCAACAUCGACCGACGUCAAGCCACAGACAUCCCAAAUCCCUGCAGAGCCGGAACGUUUGGCAUAGAAGAAGGAUGAAUGGGAGAUCGCAUAUAUCAACACGAGGAUUAACGACGUAUACAACCCUCUCAACAACAAUGUGGACUGGUUAAGUACGAGAAUUGAUCUGCUACAACAAGAUUUGGACAUCAUUCGCAAGAAGGAUCCACAACUAGCCACAUCGAUCAAUAUCUGCACCGUCACAUCGAUCGACAGCAAGUUCGCAGCCAUGGAAGAUAGGUUAAAAUCCUAUGAGGAUAUGCACGACCGUUUCACCUCACCUAUCAUGCGAUACUUGGACACCUUGUCUACACAUAUGAUGAAUGUCCAGAGGGACAUUGGUAAGCUUAAUGAUCAACAUGAUUUUCAGGAAGAAUGUUCGACAUCGAUCGAUAGGUUCCGCAGGACAUCGCUCGACGGCAAGAAACCUACAGAACAUCUUCACUACACAACAGCAUAAGUUGAUCAGAUCACAUCAAAGCUUUACACAACUAUAGACACCAUGGAGAAACUAUUUGAGAAGCGGUGUGAUGACAUCUACUUUCCAUUCGAUAUCAGACUCAGUGGACUGGAUAGCCAAGCAGAAUGGUUCCAGAAGGAAGUCAAAUCCAUUCUGAGGCAACUCGCAUCUGAACACCAGAUAUCAGCAUCGACAGAGCACGCUCCAAAUCGAUCGACAGUACUACACCAGCAACGAUCGAUAGACAACUGGUCGCAUCGAUCGAUAACACGUCUACACUAAACGACGAGCAGCUGAUACAAAACAAAAUGGAUUCAAUGCAUGAGGAACUGAACGAGCUAUCAGCAUACGCCUACGGCAAGAUAGGAUGGCAUCAGUUCAGCAUUGAGGACAUCCUAGAAAGGCUACAAAACAUCUCAAAUGCAAUACAGAAGAUAAAUGAGAGAUGGACCAGAAAUGAUGAGGCCACAAGAAGUUUCAUUGCAGCUUGGUCCAGAAUGUGCAGAGAUGAGGUGGAUGCUUGCUUCCCAACAAGUAGCUGUCUUUCCACCAACUAGUCACAUAAUUCCACAGUCAAGCUAAAUGACUAUAACAAAGCGCUGAGUGUGAGGCAACCCAUUAUUUGGUAAUUUUAAUUGGUUUUCUUAGUUACUAGUAUUUAUUUUCGUUUUCAUUCUUUCAGAUUUAUCGCAAGACCCAACUAGGAUGAUUACCAACGUAUCGACCGUGGAAGAGACGGCGACAUCGAUCGACCUACAAUCACAUACGACGAUCUAUGCAAACCGAUGCGCAUCGAUCGAUUCCCACUCCGGUCAUGUCUAUUUUCCUAACUUGUUACAUUGAGUACUUAUGAUUUAUUUUCCACCAUAACUCCGACUGUGUUACACUGGGACAAUGUAAUUUAAGUCUGGGGGGGGGGGAGGUUUACUGAUAUAAUUUAUUCUGAUUCUUAUAAAAGUAUUUUAAUAAAAUUAUGCUUAGCUAUGUUAAAGGGACUAUGAUCUUAUUAUUGAUUUAUACUUGAAUGUCUAACCACUCUUUAGCACCAUUCUAGAUUUACUGAUUGCAGAUAGUACUAAAGAUGCUAAAGUAGAUCAACCUAUCAACUAUACACACUUGCCUUGAUUGUUUGAAGAAACCAAAGCUGACCUCCAACACUAAACCUGACAUAAUCGCUUGUCUUGGGGCUUGGUAUACAUGGGAUCGAUUCUUCAGACAAGUCUGGAAGGUAACGCCUUGUGUAGAUUCAUUUAUCACAUUUUCUCUCUCUAUUUCGACCCUAGAGUAGUUAGUAUUAUCUAAAAAAAAUCCAAAAUUUAUUACUUUAUUAGGACUUAGGAUCUAGUUAGGAGGAGUCUGAACAGGACUUGGUGGCUAAAACCAUUAAGGCUUGAUUCAUAAAGUUUCUAACAAAAAGAAUUCAAAGGGGACUUGGAGGCGGCAAUCUUCAAGGCUCGCUUCACAACAAAUUCUUGGAUAUAGGUGAAAAAGAAGUGAACAAGGCUUGGUGGCAACCACCAUUAAGUCUUGAUUCAUGGAAGCCUGUUCAAUCUUGGUCACUGAUCCUGCAAUGGAAGCAUACUUUGACUCAAGAGAGAAAUUAGAGAGAGAGAAAUUAGGAACUAACUUUUACCUGCAGUUCCAGAUACUUGUCUGAAAAUCCUUGCAUCUUGGGAGGAGAUAUCACUGAAAUUACCCUAAGGAGUGGUGGCUUAAAAAUUCUCUGAAAAGAACUCUCUUGCCUCCUAACACUUAGGCAAGUAUAUAACUAUUACGUUAAAAACUCGUCAGGGGUAAUCUUGUAAUUAGAGUAAGCCUUGGGUUUAAAGUCUGCUGGAACCAAGUCGCGCGUUCCCCGUCUCGACAUCGAUCGAUGGUAAAGGGUGUACAUCGAUCGAUUUCUUCUUCUUCGUAUUGACCUCUAAUGGUCAGCUCGGAUGAAAUCUCUUUUAAGCUCCUAAAUACUCCAUAAUCAUCACUUUACUCCAAGAUACUUCUGAACCUGAAAACAUACCCAAUAGGAUAGAAUAUAUAGUAUAUAGAUAGUAAAACACUUAUAUACCAUGGAUGAAAAUAGGUCAAAUCCAUGGUAUAUCAACUCUCCAGACUUACCCUUUUGCUUGUCCUCAAGCAAAACAAAUAGGCAGUCUCUCUGAAAGAGGUUUGAAAACAGCAGGGACUUAAAGAUUUAAAACAUAGAAGUUAUCACCUCUACAAUUUCGCAAACCACAUCUAAAAAGUCCUAAUCAUAAAAGCACAUUCUGCAAUAUCCUAGCUUAGCAACCAAUUUCAACUAGUCUACAACUCAGCAAAUCCUGUCUGACAUUCCCCUCUUCCAACCUCAUUUCUUUAGCAUACAUAUAAAAGUGCAUGCUUUACCUUUGGAGUAUCGAUCACUCGACCACGCCUAUAGAGUAUCCAUGUCAAUGUUUUAUCUCAACCUCGACUACUAUGACAUAUAUCUGGUCAUAUGAAGGACUGAUGGCGUUAUAAGUUUCCAUACCUUAUUUGAAGAUGUCCUCAAUUUGCAUCAAGAUCCAUCGUACUUCAAAUAACUCAGGAUAUUCUAAUUUCAUCUUCUCCUCUGUUUCCUAGGUUCUUUCCAUAGACCCGUUGCAUUCCCAACGUAUCAAGACCAUCUUGAUUACUUUCUUACGGGUUUGCGUUUCCAUCAUAUCCAAGUUUUGGACAGGUGGAGCCUCUAAGGUAAGGUGUAGGUUCAAAUCAUGAGGUAUUGUGGUAACGGUUACAUCAUGCUCUGCCAAACACUUUUUAACUUGGGACACAUUUAAUACAUUUUGAAAUGCUUUCAUGGUUACCAGAAUGUCAAGCUUGUAUGUACCUCAGAUCUAACUUACCCCUCUUAGAAAUUCUCGCCCAACCCCAAAAAGUUAUUGUUGUUAGGUAGACCCUAUCUCUCACCUCGAACUCAAGUUCUUUUUGACGUUGGCCCGCAUACCUCUUCUCCAUAUCAUGGGCUUCCCUAAUUCACUCGACACUCUUUACAGAUGAACCUAGUUUCUAUUGGAGGUCAAACUUCAAUUAUGGGGGUGUACGCGUUAACCACGGCUGACUCAUAUAGACCAUGGUAUGCUGAUAUCGCAAAUUAACUCGCUGCUGAAGUAGAGCACGAUGACUUCAAAAGAUUCAUCAAAAAAAAUCAUACGAGAAAUACGAAGAUAUUAUUGGGAUGAACCGUACUUGAAAAAUCACUGCUCAUAUGGAAUAUACAGGCGCAACAUCGCUGAAUUAAAGGUUCCUGGUGUUUUGUUUCACUAUCAUAGUUCUGACUAUGCUGGAAAUUCGCCACAUUCAAGAAAAUGUCUAAAGUUCUACAAGCAGCUUUCUUGUGGCCUACAAUGUUUCAGGAUGCUCAAUAAAUCUCAGUAUAAUGCUUGCCAGAGGAAAGGAAAAAUCAGCAAGAGACAUGAUAUGCAGAAUAAUUACAUACUCAAAGUGGAAGCUUUCAACUGCGGGAUAUUUAUUUCAUGGGCCCUUUCCCCUCUUUUUAUGGGAACAAGUACAUCCUUGUUGCUGGCAAUUACGUAUCCAAGUGGGUAGAAGCAAUAGUAAGUAAGAGAAAAAAUGUCAUUGUUGUUUUAAAGCUGUUCAAAACCAUCAUCUUCCCAAAUUUGGAAUACCUAGAAUUGUCAUAAGUGAUGGAGGAACUCACGUCAUCAACAAAGUUGUGGGAACCAAAAUUCGCACAGUUGAUUUCCGUUUAAAUAAGGAAAGUUAGGAAAGCCCUAAUUUCUCAGAGAUCCCGGAUAUCUGCUAAACCACAUGCCCAACAAUCAGUACACGUAAGUAAAGACGUAAACGAAAUAAUAAAUCGUAUAAAAGAGCAAAAGGAGUUUUAUUCCGAAUUCGCGUAUGAGCGUUACAACAAGGUAGAAGCCUCGACUAUGAGAGCUGUUGGCGAGAUUCCAAGUUCUAACAACCUAAUUGAGUCGCAGCUCAAAAUAACGAAAACGGAAAAUUGCCUAAAUUGCUCUAAGUGCUAAGUAUGCUCUGAAAAAGUUUUUCCUUGUGGCUCUCGCCUAGGACUCCUUAUAUACUCCUUUCAAGGUUGGUUUGUGCUUCCCUCUUUUACCCUUAAGCCGUCAUAACCCGAAAAUUGAGAUAUUCCAUUUUUCUCGAUCUUCAUGAUUAUCCGCGGCAACUUAACAUUUAUCUGCGGAAAUUUGAAAUUUAUCCUUUCUUGCGGACAAAGUAUACACCGCCAUAGUAUCUAUGGGCUUUUCCUUAAAAAAUCGUAAGUGAGUUUCUAAUCGUCUUUUAGACCCCCUUGGGCCAUCUUUCGACUCAGAACGUUUAUUACGAUUUUUAUCAAUAAUAACAAACUUUCCGCAAUUUUUAUCGUUAAGUUUAAGUGAUAACUCCAAUCGAUUGGUGUGGGAAAUGAUAUGGCUGCGGUACUCAAGAACUAGCAUUGCAGAACUGACGAGAAUGCAACGUUUUGGGUCGUACCCGUUGAUCGAUGUCUGAAACAGUUCGGUCGCUACAUAGUGACCGGGUCCGGGAUGGAUCGGUUCCUACGUAGCGACCGAACGAAUGGCUUGGUCGGUCACAAUGUAGCAACCGAUCCGCAACAAGUCGGUCGCUACGUAACGGCCGACCGAGCCUCUUGUUCGGUCGCUACGUAGCGACCGACCAAGCCAUUCGUUCGCUCGCUACGUAGCGACCGACCAAGCCAUUCAUUCGGUCGCUACGUAGUGACCGAUCCAUCACGGAACCGGUCGCUACGUAGGGACCAACCGAGUGGCUGGGUCGGUCGCUACAUAGCGACUGACUCGUGCGCGGGUCUGUCGCUACGUAGCGACCGGCUUGUUCGCGGGUCGGUCAUUACGUGGCGACCUUGUUUGCGUCCUUUUCCGAUGUUUCAUGAACAUGUUCUUUAGUUUCGAUGAAUGAACCAAGAUUAAUGCAAUGUUUCACCGCCAGACUUUUCGUAAAAGUAAUCUUUUCGAAGAAUACUUUCGUAAAAAAACAUUCAUGUUAAUGGAUAUUUGGAUGUUAACUUCGUCGUGUCUGUUUUUGACCCCAACAUAAGUGGUUGAGAAACUGUUAAGAAUGUAUGGAGUUCACAAUCGAGUGGCCACUCUUUAUCACCUUAAAACCAUUGGACAAGGAGAAGUGUCCAACUGUCAUAUCAAUGAGAUCUUAAAGACUGAAGGGAGAACUAGGGAAAACUGGUCUAUGAAGUUGGAUGAUGCUCUUUGGGUCUACGAUACUGCUUCAAAAAUCACUAGGGACUACACCAUUUAAUCAUUUUUACGGGUAAGCAUGUCACCUCCUAGUGGAGUUAGAACACAAGGUAACAUGGGCUAUGAAAAUGAUUUUUUUUUUAUACAUCAAGCCUGCUGCGGAAAAGAGAUUGACAUAGCUGAAUGAAUUAGAUGAGAUAAGGCAUCAUGCCUAUGAAAACACAAAAUUGUACAAGCAAAGAACUAAGGCCUAUCAUGACAAGAAUAUCAUCUCGAGGCACUUCAAACCCAAUGAUCAAGUACUUCUGUAUAACUCCUAUUUAAAAUUAUUUUUUGGAAAUUUGUGUUCUCGUUGGUCAUGUCCCUUUACCAUCAAGGAAGUCAGACCAUACAGAGCCAUUGUUCUAUUUAACUCCAGAGACGAGGAUUUCACUAUAAAAUGGACAAAGGAUAAAAGCACUACUGGGAGAUUCAAGACAGCAACAUUGUGCCUCUCGAAACAACUACACAUGGUUGAUCAUGCAUGUCCGUCAAGAAAAUGACAUUAAACAAGCGCUUGAUGGGAGAAAAUCUACUUGUAAGUAUGUACACUAUUAAGUUUUUAAUCUUGUUCUAUUUGAUUUUCUAACUAUUUGUUCGAAUUUGAGAAAUAAUUUUAUAAAAUCGAAUAGCGUUGAUCGAUGCUACUCUAGUGUCAUUCAAUGUUGGUAUCGCAAGACACGGACUCUUUAAAAAGCCUAGUCCUUUAAUUAUUUUCUAAAAACUCCUCUUCCUAAAAACUUAAAAGGGCGAUUUCUCCCUCAAUCUCAAGUCGAUUUUGAUGAUUUCAAACCACAACCCCCUCAAUUUUCAGUCAUCUACUUGUUUAGUUCACUCAUUCAUCAGAUCUACAAGGAUGAGUUUUGAUCUUGCGACUGAUGAAUCGAGAAAACUGUGCGGCAUCGAGAGAUACCCUGGUGACAUCAUUUGACGCUCCUUAUUCCAAGACGAAAGUUACUGACUUUUUGUGAGAGCUCAUAUGAACAUGGGUGAGACGUCUAGAUCAGCAGCACUGACACCACCUGUCACCACCUGUAGUCUUUUCCAAGGGGUGGGACGCUGUGGCAUUGAUCAAAAGGCUUGGACUGAGAACCAUGGCGACUAAAUUCUAUGAUAUAUACCCUGAUCUGGUGAGACAGUUCAUGGCUUCUGUGUGGGUUUACUAUAAGAAUCUGAACUGUAAGAGAGUGUACGAGUGUUCCAUCACUUUUUGCAUCCAGGAUAUAUGGUACACGUUGUCUAUCCCCGACUUGUGUGACAUCUAACGUUUUCCAGACCGUCAUGCUGUUGGCAUCACCAUACUGGACUCAUUCCAUUGUCACUAUAAACUCUGGAGUUUAACUGGGAUAGGAGACUAUACGCCCAGCGGGACUAAUUUGACAAACAUUCACCAUCUCACCUUGCGUUUCUUCGUGAAAGUGAUCAACAACACCAUUUGCUGCAAGAUGGAGCACAACAAGGUGAGAGUUCACAAAUUGUUUAUGUUGUAUCUUGCCAUCAAUCCUCUCAUUCAGAAUCAAAUAUAACAACCGUAGUUUUUUUACAUGAUAAACUUGGAAGCCCUUUUUGCUGAGUACUUGGUUUCAUUAAAGACAAAGCCUUUUACCGGAGCAGGUGCAAGGAAGAUGUUUGUUGGGAGUCUUCUUACUCCCAUCUUCACGCACCUUGGAAUUUCAACAGUAGGAUACACUGUUAACUACAAAGAGGGAGCGCUAGAUGAUAUUGGGGAUGAUGCCAGCCACACACCAGAGAAUGCUCCUAGAGAAUUUGCAUGAGCCAGCCACGCACCGGAGCACGCUCCCCAUCACCAGCUGCUGAAGAAUCCGGGGAUGAUGCAGAGGAGUCAUAUGAGCAGGAUUAAGAGGAGUAGUCCAAUUUUUUUUCUUUCCUUAUGUACUUUUUAUGUUUUUAUCAAAUCAGUUGAACUUCAUCUAUUUUUACUUCUACUCUUUAGGAUGAUUAAAAUUUGGUAUUAUCUAUGAUUAUGUUGCUAUUUAUUUAAGUUAUAGUGAUUUUCAAAGAAGUUCUUUGAAAUA